AUUGAACGCUGGCGGCAGGCUUAACACAUGCAAGUCGAGCGGUAGCACAGGGGAGCUUGCUCCCUGGGUGACGAGCGGCGGACGGGUGAGUAAUGUCUGGGAAACUGCCUGAUGGAGGGGGAUAACUACUGGAAACGGUAGCUAAUACCGCAUAACGUCGCAAGACCGAAGAGGGGGACCUUCGGGCCUCUUGCCAUCAGAUGUGCCCAGAUGGGAUUAGCUAGUAGGUGGGGUAAUGGCUCACCUAGGCGACGAUCCCUAGCUGGUCUGAGAGGAUGACCAGCCGCACUGGAACUGAGACACGGUCCAGACUCCUACGGGAGGCAGCAGUGGGGAAUAUUGCACAAUGGGCGCAAGCCUGAUGCAGCCAUGCCGCGUGUGUGAAGAAGGCCUUCGGGUUGUAAAGCACUUUCAGCGAGGAGGAAGGUGGUGAACUUAAUACGUUCAUCAAUUGACGUUACUCGCAGAAGAAGCACCGGCUAACUCCGUG
rnacentral:rRNA from 1 species